GGCUGGUUAGCUCAGUUGGUUAGAGCGUGGUGCUAAUAAUGCCAAGGUCGCAGGUUCGAUCCCCGACCAGGCCA